AGUUAUUAAGCUUUAGAUAAGCAUAUAUUUUGAAAAUAUAAUACAUUGGUUAAAUUCCACUAAUAACUU
rnacentral:tRNA from 1 species